UGGGGAAUAUUGGACAAUGGGCGAAAGCCUGAUCCAGCCAUGCCGCGUGUGUGAAGAAGGUCUUCGGAUUGUAAAGCACUUUAAGUUGGGAGGAAGGGCAGUAAAUUAAUACUUUGCUGUUUUGACGUUACCGACAGAAUAAGCACCGGCUAACUCUGUGCCAGCAGCCGCGGUAAUACAGAGGGUGCAAGCGUUAAUCGGAAUUACUGGGCGUAAAGCGCGCGUAGGUGGUUCGUUAAGUUGGAUGUGAAAUCCCCGGGCUCAACCUGGGAACUGCAUUCAAAACUGACGAGCUAGAGUAUGGUAGAGGGUGGUGGAAUUUCCUGUGUAGCGGUGAAAUGCGUAGAUAUAGGAAGGAACACCAGUGGCGAAGGCGACCACCUGGACUGAUACUGACACUGAGGUGCGAAAGCGUGGGGAGCAAACAGGAUUAGAUACCCUAGUAGUCCCUGAGCGGGCUGGCAAGGCGCAU
rnacentral:rRNA from 1 species